UGGGGAAUAUUGGACAAUGGGCGCAAGCCUGAUCCAGCCAUGCCGCGUGUGUGAAGAAGGCCUUUUGGUUGUAAAGCACUUUAAGCGAGGAGGAGGCUACUUGGAUUAAUACUCUAGGAUAGUGGACGUUACUCGCAGAAUAAGCACCGGCUAACUCUGUGCCAGCAGCCGCGGUAAUACAGAGGGUGCGAGCGUUAAUCGGAUUUACUGGGCGUAAAGCGUGCGUAGGCGGCUUCUUAAGUCGGAUGUGAAAUCCCUGAGCUUAACUUAGGAAUUGCAUUCGAUACUGGGAAGCUAGAGUAUGGGAGAGGAUGGUAGAAUUCCAGGUGUAGCGGUGAAAUGCGUAGAGGUCUGGAGGAAUACCGAUGGCGAAGGCAGCCAUCUGGCCUAAUACUGACGCUGAGGUACGAAAGCAUGGGGAGCAAACAGG
rnacentral:rRNA from 2 species